CCGAGUGAGGGCCCUCCGGGGCCCGACCUCCAACCCUUUUGUGAACCACCCUGUUGCCUCGGGGGCCCCCGGUGGCCCAUUUGAACCCUGCGUAACUGAGUCGUCGGAGUAUAAAUAAAUAAUCA
rnacentral:misc_RNA from 1 species